CCUACGGGAGGCAGCAGUGAGGAAUAUUGGUCAAUGGGCGAGAGCCUGAACCAGCCAAGUCGCGUGAAGGAUGACGGUCCUACGGGUUGUAAACUUCUUUUGUCAGGGAGCAAUUGAGUCCACGCGUGGGCUUAGCGAGAGUACCUGAAGAAAAAGCAUCGGCUAACUCCGUGCCAGCAGCCGCGGUAAUACGGAGGAUGCGAUGGUUAUCCGGAUUUAUUGGGUUAAAAGGGUGCGUAGGCGGAAUAUCAAGUCAGCGGUAAAAUUUCGGGGCUCAACCCCGUCGUGACGUUGAAACUGAGGGUCGUGAGUGGGCGAGAAGUAUGCGGAAUGCGUGGUGUAGCGGUGAAAUGCAUAGAUAUCACGCAGAACUCCGAUUGCGAAGGCAGCAUACCGGCGCCCAACUGACGCUGAAGCACGAAAGCGUGGGUAUCGAACAGGAUUAGAUACCCUUGUAGUC
rnacentral:rRNA from 1 species